rnacentral:lncRNA from 1 species
GUAAACAUAAAAAAUGGUGGAUGAUAGGAAACUUACUGAAGUCAAAAGUGAAUGCUCUCUAGUGAGAGGAAGUCCGUUGGAAACAAGACUGAGAGUGGCGGCGAGAACAACACAGAAUGACCAAUGGUAAGUGUGACGACGACAAAGUGGUAGUAGGGAAGAAAACACUUUAGAGCGGGAAAAACCAAAAAGUAGCCCAAAGGGUGUGGGGAACCUUUA